UUCCCCCUUGGAUUUUGAGCUAGGAUCUCACCCCACGCUGGAGGACAGCCUGGUCAUGCUCCUCCAGAGGGAUAGACUUUCUUGCUUCGCUUGACCCCGGCCGAUGGUGAGUAAUGCCUAGUAAUCUGCUUGGUAGAGGGGGAUAACCUUCAGAAACUGACUCUAAUACCGCAUACAUCCUAACUUAGAAAGCAGGGGACCUUCGGGCCUUGCGCUAUCACAUGAGCCUAUGUGGGAUUAGCUCCUUGGUGGGGUAUGGCCUCCCCCAGGCCACAAUCCUUAACUGGUCUGAGAGGAUGAUCCGUCACGCUGAAAAUGACACGCCGUCCACACCCCCUCCGGAGGGUUUGGUGGGGAAUAUUGCACAAUGGGCCAAAGCCUGAUCCACCCAUGCCGCGUGAGUGAAGAAGGUCUUCUUAUUGUACUUCACUUUACGUUGGGAGAAAGGACAUUACAUUAAUACUUUGCUGUUUGGACCUUAGCUACAGAAUACACCCCUCUUUCUUCUGUGCCUUCAUUGGAUGUAAUAGAGAGGGUGCGUUCUUCACUCUGAUUUAAUGUACGUAACGCGCGCGUAGGUGUGUAGUUAACUUGGAUGUGACAUCCGAGGUCUCACCCUGCGGAACUGCCUUCACAACUGACUGACUAGAGUAUGGUAGAGGGUGAUGGAAUUUCUGUGCUCCCGGUGAAAUGCGUACAUAUAGGACGGAGUGCACUACCGAGUAUCACCUCCUGGUACUGCUCACCCGACUCUGCGCAGCUAAGUCGUCGGUGAACCAAACCAGGAGUACACCCUCUGCUACUGCUGCUCCGUACAUAGAUGUCCACUAUGUCGGUCGACGACCAUGAAGCUUCUCAGCCAGCCGUCGACCAUGCUCUAGUCAGAUCCGUCGUGGAAUAGCUACUGCCGGAUGUAGACCACGUCAAUUGCACUUACAGCUACCUGACCAGCUGAGCGCAGCCUUGUAGUCCUAGUUACGCUACCGCGAAUCGUC
rnacentral:rRNA from 1 species